UACAGAGGUCUCAAGCGUUGUUCGGAUUCAUUGGGCGUAAAGGGUGCGUAGGUGGCGCUGUAAGUCGGGUGUGAAAUUUCGAGGCUUAACCUCGAAACUGCAUUCGAUACUGCGGUGCUUGAGGACUGGAGAGGAGACUGGAAUUCAUGGUGUAGCAGUGAAAUGCGUAGAGAUCAUGAGGAAGACCAGUGGCGAAGGCGGGUCUCUGGACAGUUCCCGACACUGAGGCACGAAGGCCAGGGGAGCAAACGGG
rnacentral:rRNA from 1 species